rnacentral:rRNA from 1 species
UAUAUUAAUGUUCCUGCAGUUAUUCGAUGCUCGUAGUUGGAUUUCUGGGGGCUGAGAUUGGAAGGUGGCCAAGGUCACCGCCGAACUCUUCCUUCAUCCACCUGUUAACGUUGUCCGGGAUUUGUUUCUCGGCUUCAGGCUCAGGUAUUUUACCCUUUCUAUAUAUUCAUUUAUUUAUCUUCUUUUUGAGUAAAUUAUAGUGUUUCAGGCAGGCGUGCGCCGGAAUACUUUAGCAUGGAAUAAUCGAAUUGGACCGUGUAUUCUUAUAGAAUUCUUCCUUAUUUGUUGGUUUCAAGGACACGGAAAUGGUUAAUAGGGAUAGUGUUUUCAGGGGAGGCAUUAGUAUUUAAUUUCCAGAGGUGAAAUUCUUUGAAAUAUUAAAGACUAACUUAUGCGAAAGCAUUUAUUUUGCCAAUAAUGUUUUCAUUAAUCAUUGAACGGAAGUUAGGGGAUCAAAGACGAUCAGAUACCGUCCUAGUCUUAACCAUAAACGUUGCCGACUAGGGAUCGGAGGGCGUGCACAUUCCGCCUUCGGCACCUUACGAGAAAUCAAAGUCUUUUGGGUUCUGGGGGUAGUAUGGUCGCAAGGCUGAAACUUAAAGGAAUUGACGGAAGGGCACCACCAGGAGUGGAGCUUGCGGCUCAAUUUGACUCAACACGGGAAAUCUUACCAGGUCCAGACAUAGCGAGGAUUGACAGAUUGAUAGCUCUUUCUUGAUUCUAUGGGUAUUUAUUUUAAUUUUGGUGGUGCAUGGCCGUUCUUAGUUGGUGGAGUGAUUUGUCUGGUUAAUUCCGUUAAACGAACGAGACCUCAGCCUGCUAAAUAGUUACCUGUCUUUCUUUUACGAGACUUGAUAACUUCUUAGAGGGACGUUGUGUGCAACCACAAGGAAGUUGAGGCAAUAACAGGUCUGUGAUGCCCUUAGAUGUCCUGGGCCGCACGCGUGCUACACUGAUACGUACAACAAGGUAUAUGCAUUUAUGCAUCGAUGCUGCUCCGAAAUAGACACAGCUAAAUCUUCUAAAAUACGUAUCGUGCUGCGGAUAGAUCGUUGAAAUUAUGGAUCUUGAAGGUGGAAUUCCUAGUAAGCGCGGGUCAUCAACCCGCGUUGAUUACGUCCCUGCCCUUUGUACACACCGCCCGUCGCUCCUACCAAUUUCGAGUGGCUCGGUGAACCUCUUUGGACUGUCGAGCAAUCGCAAAAUUAGAGUGAACCUGGUCAC